rnacentral:lncRNA from 10 species
GCAAAUCAAGAUGGUGUAUAAAAUAACAAGUGACCAGCAAGAAGACAUUAUAUAGCAAACACAGAAACUGCUAUAUAAAGAUUUCUGAAUGUGUUUCAGUUUUGGAAGACAUCUAUAUGAAGUUCAGAGAAGGGCCUUUGCACAUGAUGAUUUUACUGACUGCAGCAUGCCAACCCACCAUGGUUGGCUUUUUCUUUUCCUUUACAUUAUGGCUUCUUAUUGUGCUUACAAAUCAUCUGACAUCUAGAGACCUUGUUCAAAAGCAGACACAGAUUCAGAAAGUUUUGA